GUUUUGUGCAUAUUGAAAUUUCUAGGGCUGCAUUUCUUGAAUGCUUAUAUUCUGUAGAUAGGCAGCCAUGGCUAUCUAUAUGAUAAGUCCACCAAUGAAGUUUUUAAAGUCAUGUGAAUACACAUGACUACAUCACCGUUCUUGAAGACCAGUGUGCUUACUCACCAAAAUCAUCCUGAAUCACUUACUCAUGGUUCAUGGCAUCUCCUUUCUUCUGCUCCGAACUGUUAGGCUAAUCUUGUGGUGGGAAAAAAAAAAGACAGAAAAUACUUCUUGUUUGCCCAAUAUAUAAAUAACCAUAAAAAAUAGAAUGACUACAUGGAAAAAAUGUUUUUCUUAGUUUUGAAAAAAAGUUUUGAUUAAAUAUAUUAAAGCAGAUAAUAACCAAAGCACACUUUGACUAUCAAAAAAAUAAAAAUACAAAUAAGCUUUAUGAACAAAUUAUUAAAUAAUAAUUGUGAAUUUAAAAAUACCACAAUAAUAACUGAAUCAUUAUUAAAUAAUGUAUCAAGAAAAUAUCUAUAUUACAUAAAAUGUGUUAUUCAAAGAAGUUAAAAUUAAAAGUCUAAAACAGAUGUUUAAGAAAUAAAAUAAUGAUAAUCUCAAAUUUGUAAAAUUGUAAUGACUUAUGGCAAUAGUAAUUUUAGUUUUCUAUAAUCCUUAGACAAUUGCAAAGUCUAAAGUUUGGUAUUUUGUGGGUGUCCACCUUUUGUGACUGAUCUAGGAAACAGAGAUGUCAAAUAAACUUGAUUAAUUAUCUGAUUCUUCUUUCUCUGUGAACUGGCCUAUAACUUUCUUCCCUUUAAAUCUGUACUCUCUUGCAUAUGUGGGAAUAUAAAAAUAAAUUUACAUUUAUUCUUAAAUUAUUUCCUUCUAGCAAAAUAAUUCAAACAUUGUCUGUAUUAGCUAAUAAGUGAUUCUUGUCACUUGUCCUCUUCUUCUGCAUCCCUAACUUACAUUCAGAUUAAUUUGUACUGUCCUUUGUGGGAUUAAAACAAAACCAAAACCAAAACCACACACAAACAAACAAACAAAAACCCCAGACAUACCUACUAUUGAAAAAAUUAGAUGAAAUAGUUUUUAUGGAGAAAAGUAAAAAGAAGCCACUGAUAAGCCAGAAGGUUCUUGACUUAUUCACAGUGGACCUCAUGGAACAAGACAUGACUACAUCCUGCUUCACUUGCACUGUUAGCCAUAAAAUUAGCAUUCUCCCUCUCUUUCUUAUACAUCUUCUCUUACAGUCCAGAGACCCCAAAUACAAUGCUCUGUAAUUUAAACAGAAUAGAUUAGUUGGAAGAAAUUGCAAGAUGUCAAAUGCAAAUUGUGUUUUUAAAAACUGUGGUCCAUUGGAAUACACGCGCCACCGCCAUUUACAGAAGCAUUUGUGCACAGGUUUUGAAAACAGCGUUAUCAGAGAAACAGAAGUCAAAUGACUAGCCAUCUCCGCAAACAAAUGGCCUUGAAAGACUCUCCAAACUCCUGCAAUUCAAGAGAACCCAUUUCUGGUUGACAUUUAACCUCAGAGUUUAUGGUAAUUCCAGAUGCUAAUGAUAAAAGUGGCUAUUCGGAAUCUAUCAAAAACCUUAAGAUAUUAAAAUCCCAAAGCAGUAAUCCAGGCUGCCUGGAACCUAAACCAUGUACCAUUCUCUUACAAAAGUGUGAUCAGUAGAAAUUUCUUUUGACUCUUUUACAUUAAAUUUAUUUAUUAUUCACUUUACAACCUAAUAUCGGCUCUUCCUCUCCUCAGAGUACACUCUCAAGCACGCCCUCCCCCAUUCAACCUUCUGGGUGGCGACAGUCUGGGUAUCAACAGCCCCUACACACAAAAGUACUCUACAGCCAGAGAAGUCAAGUCUAAAACUAUGGGUUGAUCAGACAAUUGAGGGAGAAAGCUUUAUGAAAAAUACUAUCUACAUCUGGUGCUGGUACAGCUGUAUUUAUUUGAGCAAACUUAUUUAAGAUUUUUAGUUAUUUAAAAGUUUUCUUCUUACUAUGUUUGUUAUAACAACAACAACAACAAC
rnacentral:lncRNA from 1 species